UGGCUCCCACUAUUGGAGAUGCCCUUAGUUGUUACUUGUAAGUUAACCUACAGCCCUAAUUCCCUUAUUUCUCUACUAUAAAUCGUAAUGUGGAGUGGAUGAAACAUUUUUAAGACCCCAGAGAGAAAUUGCCGCCGCCGCCGCAUCGGACGGAUAAUUAGAGAAAUUUCCGCCGCCGCCGCUAUAACAUUUAUAUUUUUUUGUAGAAACGGACCGACCAUGAAGAACAACUUUAGUAAGCUGAUGAUCCUCCCUUGGAAUUUGAUGACUGCCCAGCUAGCUGAGCUAAUGGCUGCUGCUGCAGGUGGUUUCAUUUCUUGGUUGGAUUUGAUGUUUUGCCUUACUCAUCUGAGUUUGUCCUUUUUUUGGCUUUGGUUUUCAAACUAUAUUUUGGUUUGAUAUGGGGAGACUGGAAAUGAUGAAUGAAGCAGAUAUUAAGUUUUUUUUUUCUCCUAUCUCAAGUAAAAGAAUGGCACAGUGGUAAUGGUGGCAGGGAUUGGGCAACACUUACAAAUUGCAUAUUGGACAUUAUUUUACAAUGGCAUAAAUGUCAAUUAAUUGUAUAUUUUUUGCCAAAGUAAGCAAGUCCUGGAGAAGUAGUAUACUUAUAAGGCUAAACUCAUCUAGAGGCCCUUGUACUAUAUCAUUUUUGUUCAAAAAGCCCUUGUACUAUUUUUUUGUUCUUCA